rnacentral:rRNA from 1 species
AUUGAACGCUGGCGGCAGGCCUAACACAUGCAAGUCGAACGAGUGGCGGACGGGUGCGUAAUGUCUGGGAAACUGCCUGAUGGAGGGGGAUAACUACUGGAAACGGUAGCUAAUACCGCAUACCAUCAGAUGUGCCCAAAUGGGAUUAGCUUGUGGGUGGGGUAAUGGCUCACCAAGGCAACGAUCCCUCGCUGGUCUGAGAGGAUGACCAGCCACGCUGGAACUGAGACACGGUCCAGACUCCUACGGGAGGCAGCAGUGGGGAAUAUUGGACAAUGGGCUGAAGCCUGAUGCAGCCAUGCCGAGUGUAUGAAGAAGGCCUUCGGGUUGUAAAGUACUUUCAGCGGGGAGGCGUUACCCGCAGAAGAAGCACCGGCUAACUCCGUGCCAGCCGCCGCGGUAAUUC